rnacentral:lncRNA from 1 species
GUGGGCGGGGGGAGGAGGGGAGAGCCGAGCGAGGCCGGAAAGAGCCGAGCGAUGCCGGAAAGAGCCGAGCGUGGGCGGGGGGAGGAGGGGAGAGCCGAGCGAAGCCGGAAAGGGCCGAGGAGAACCGGAAAGGGCCGAGAGAGGACGGAAGAAGCCGAGUGGGGGCGGCAGAAGACGAAAGGGACCGGAAAGAGCCGAGCGGGGCCGGAAAGGGCCGAGCGCUUCCGAAAGGAGCCGAGUGGGGGCAGAAGAAACUGGGGAAGACCGGAAAGAGCCGAGCGGGGCCGGAAGGAGCCGAGCUCUUCCGGAAAGGGCCGAAAGGGGGCGGGAGAAGCCGAGGGGGAACGGAAAGAGCCGAGCGGGGGGCCGAAGAAAUCGAGCGAUUCCGGAAGCAGCCUAGUGGGGCCGGAAGAGACGGAAGCCGGGACCGGAAGAGGCCCGAGCAGAGACCGGAAGAGUCCCGAGCAGAGACCGGAAGCGGAAGUCCCCGCGCAGGCGAGCCAAGAUGGCGGCCACGUGCGAU